GGGUGGUUAGCUCAGCUGGGAGAGCAUCGCCCUUACAAGGCGAGGGUCACAGGUUCGAUCCCUGUAGCACCCACCA
rnacentral:tRNA from 2 species